GAUGGAUGAACAUCUUUUAAAGAGAAAUUGUCAUCAAAGAUAACAGAUGCAAGAUACGGGUAAUGCAUUUUUAUCACUGAUUGGAACUCCAUAAGAUGAUUAUGAAGAGGUAAAGAACACAAAUGAAAAAUAAAAUUACACUAGACUUUAAAGAAGACAAUUAGUUGGUCAAGAACAUGAAGAAACUAACGAUAAAUGAGAUUGAAAUUCAAGCUUGAUGAUGAAAUUAAGAAAGACGAAAGUUGGUUGAAGCUAAGGGUAAAAUAUUAAGAGUUUAUAAAUAGGAGAUGAUGUGAAGAGUCAUGAGUUAAUAGAUAUUUAUUUGAUGGUCUAAGGGUAAAACAGUCAUUACAAGUCAUCAUGUAAUAAUCAUGAAGUAGUUAUAAGGUGGUUUUAAAACUUUGUAAUGUUUGUUCUGUAAUAUUCUCAAGCAUGUUUUGACACGCGUUGAGCAUGUAAACAACAUAAUUUUUCAGCCGUGCGAUCAUUUUUGUGUGUGUUGUGCAAUGUCAAUCUAACGGUUUAAAAUAUGGAAUAAGGUCCACUAUUUUUCAAUAAAUAUAGUGGGUCCCACAAAAUUCAGUUCCAAAAUAUUGACCACGAAAUCCAAAAUUGUUAAAGAACAUUAAUUAUUAUGUACACCACUCAAAAUAUAAAUUUAUAUUGAUAAUUUAUUUUUUUGGAAAACAAUCAUCUAUAACCAAUAGUAGGAUUUCAAAAUGUUACUUCUUCCAUUCCAUUAUAUGUUUUUUUCAUUUUAAAAUAUUGUUUCAUCUAUUAUCAGACUUUUACUUAAUUCGAUGUUUCGUAAUCAUUUGGAGUAUACCAUAUUAUUUUCAUUGGCUGAUUAAUGUAAAAAGAUAAUAAAAUCUAUAAUUUAUGUGAUUCUCAAAAUUUAUGUUUGUAGAAAAUAAAUUGAAUUUUUGGUGUGAUCUAACAAAAAAACUUGUAUAAUGAAAUAUAAACUAGAAAGAAUACUUAAACUUUGUUUUUAUAUGUGAUACUUAACAUUGCUUCAUUAUAAGUUUCUCAACCUUUGCCAUAGAGAAAUUCAUGUCACUACAUAUUUAAUGACUAAAUAACAAUAUGUAUUCACUUUAUUAGGAUAAAUUAUUUGGAAAUAAAUAAUACUCAAAAACGGUUGAAGAUUUAUGUAAAACAACUUUUUAUUAGAUAAAAUAAUAUAUAGUAUAAAACAAUGUUAUUUGCUAAAAUUAUCUUUCAGAAACUUUAAAUUUUAUUAUUCAAUAUAAACUAUGUAUAAGAGAUAAACUAAAAUUACUCUAAUUAAAAAAUAACAGGGUGGAAAUUACAGUAGAAGCCAAAUGAUAUGAUGAUGUUGAAUAAGAAUUUUCAAUUUUGUAACUGAAUAAUUGAGACUAUAUACCAUAGUAAUAACAAUGAUAGGCUUUUAACCAAUGACAUUUAAAUCCAAAAGAGACAGCCUAUCAAAUUAUUAUAAUAGACAAAUCUUAAUCCUUGUAAAGUCUUAAACCCGUUAAACUAUCUUGUCAUUAUUUUAAUUUAAUUUUACUUCUUUUACGAUGUAAUCAAUUAUAAAUAUUUAUAAUACAUAAAAUAUAAAAAGGUGAAUAUUAUUUACUAAUUAUAAUAGGUUGAAUAACAUCAAGGAAUCAAACCAGAAAGUACAUUUGGCGUGUGGCAAUGACCUGAUGUUAGAAAUUUUUGGACCUUUGCAUGAUGUCCACUUGUACCUAAAGAGGUCUUAGAUCAAGCAUUAAACAUGGCCGAAAAACGGCAUGCUUUUCACUUUCCAUCUCUUACCAGAAAAAAAAAACAUCACAUAUUCUAGAGUCUUUUCAAUCCCUAUAAGUGAGUAGGAAGGUUUGGAAAUGUUUCAGCCCUUUUGAAACAUUUAUCACUGCAUACUAGAAAAGGAAGCUUGAAAAAUAUUGAUAUGUCAUCAUUGGUGAAAGAUUCUAAAAAUAUAUUUUAACAACUAAACACUAUCAGCCACUAAAACAAUGUGACGGUGUUGCAAGAGUCUUUCACAAAUGCUAAAAAAAUCUCUUAUUUUCAUUGAUGAAAAACUUAUAAAAAAAACUCACUAAUGUUAAAAAAAUGUGAAUUUUCAUUAUUAAUAAUAAUGACAAAAGAGAUACAAAUAGUUUUAAAGACUCAAAAGCUAUUACAUCUAAGAAAGUUGACUAAGCAGAAGGCUUAGAAAAUCCAAAAAAAAAAAGAAUUUAUAGGUAAGAAGGUUUAAUCAAAACACUAAGGCUAUAAUUAAAGCUUCGCUAAGGAAAAUUCUACUAAUAACAACAAUUAAUCCUAAUAGAUCAAAACAAAAUAAGUCACAAGAGACCUACAACAAGAGCAAUAAUCAGUAUAGUAUAAUAGCUGGAGAACAGUCCAAAAAUCAGUCCAAAGACAACUCCAAGAGGUAGACAUGCAAAGCAGGUUGACCAGGCCCCGGUCCGGUUAUCACCAAGUGAGUCCUCUCCUAACGCCGUUACUUCCAGAAGAGAAUUAUAUGCUUCUCUGUAAAUUCCAAUUCGAAGAGGUGAGACUAGCAUAAUAAAGCACGCUAGUCAUCUUAUAUUGUUUUAUUAUAUCCCUUGUUCGCAAACUCGCUAGACGCUACGCGUGCGGCGCACCCGAGCCUAACAAUUUUUUGAAAAUGCGGGAAAAAAUAAGGAAGUACGCGGGGAGGAAUUUUUUGAUAUAUAUAUAUUCUUACUUAUAUAUGUAUAAUACAAAAAUAUGUUUAAUAAAUGUUUAUCUAUAAGAGACACAACUAAACUAUUGUUUGAUCUUGAGAACACAACAAAAAUAAGAUACUUAUAUUCAAACAUACCAAAGUAAUUUCAUAAUCUAAAGUUUUGUAUAAAUACUAUGGGUAUUCCGGCGCUACCGAUUCGUAUAUUUAUUAAUUUAAUAAGUUGAAUAGGGUUUGUUUGAUUCGUUUGAUAGAAGUUAGUGGUAAUAGUAUAAAGAGGAUACAUUUGAUAGAAGUUAGUGGUAGUAGUAUAGAUAUGAUACAUUUGAUCCAUUUUAAUACGUGAGUAUGAAGUUGUGAGAAAGAAUAGAUUUUAGAACUAUGGACAACAAUUUGUUUUCAAAAUUAUUAGCAAAAGCCGAAAAGUUACAGAUGCCAGAAUCUAACUGCCAGUCCAUCUCUGGAGCUAUGCAAUGCGUGGUGUUUAUGCAGGAUUCGGUUGAUUAGAAUAAUGAACGUAGGAAUGGGGUGACUAAAGACGCUUUUAUUAGAAUCAAACAAGAGGUUACAAGAUUGACGGGAAAUAAAGAGACAAGAUCAAAGGUUUAAGCAACAUGAUCAAAGAGAUGAUUAGGAAACCCUAGAUCUAUCCGCUUCUGUGUGUGUUGUCCAAAAGUCCUCCUUUUCGUUGUCUCCUCAUCACCUCUUAUAGUGUAACCGUCCGUGAUGCCCUAAUCGUGUCGUCCUUUGGGCCCUGUCGUUAAAGGCCGAGUAUGCGGGCCUUGGCACUGUUCUCUAUAAGCCGAGCGUAUUUAGUCGGCUUAGCUGAUCGGCUAAAAGUACUCUGGGAUCGAGCCGACACUUUUAGCCGCUUAAGCCAACUAAACUGGUCAAGCUUGCCGGGCUAGGGCCUGUUAUUCGAUGGGCCUUGUGGAGGGAUGUAAUCCAUCUCCUACAAUAAGUCCCUCCCCCAGUUCACUUGUGAGCGGCGUAGCGAUCUCAGUGAAUUUGUGGGUCAGGUUCGUUCGUAUAUCAGGUCCUAGCGUGUUUAGUCGCAUGCCGCUUUAUUGACGUUUCUAGUCGCUUAGAGUAGUACUUCUUCAUGAUCUGCUUUGCUCGCCGAGGUUUUUGUCACGGAGGCACGUUUUACUCGGUAGGCGAAUUACUCCGAUAUAAGAGCUCAAGCUUAUCUCAUCGGUUUACGUUAGUAAACCGGUUUAGACCGAAAUCGGGGAUUAAUUUCGGUCUGGCAUCUCGAUUAGAGAUCGGUUUGAACGAGAAACCGAACCGUCGCGAGUAAGCCUUUGGGUAUUUAGGCAGCCUUUGAGGCCCAUUUAGGUUUCUGUAGACCUAAUGAUUGCGCUUCGGAGGAUGUGCCCUUGUUUUGGCUAUAAAUAGGCUCCUCCCUUCCGCUUUCGUCAUUCUUCUCUGCAAGUUCAGGUAUCCCGCUUUCUCUCUCUUCUCUCUACUUUUACUUUCUCUCUCUAGGUACGUUUCUCCUCACACAGGCUUGUCGGUAUCGUCUGGCGGUUGUAGUCGUCCCCUAAAUCCAGGAUCAUGCCUCUGAGAGGUCGUUUGUCGCGAGAAGAAAAAGGGAAGGGCGUCGCAGAUUCUCCGAGUUAGACCAGAGAUGAACGGGUAGCUGACAGCCCGCUGGAUGAUUUUGACUUGAUUCAUCGCGACGCUCUCCGGGACUUAGACAAUAUGACCCUAUCUCAACGCCUUUUGGUCGAUUACCGAUUUCAAACGCUCUUCGGGAUUUAGACAAUAUGACCCUAUCUCAACGCCUUUUGGUCGCUGAUGCUCAUAAGAUGAUCCGUGACGAACGCGCGGAUUGCGUUGUAGCCGGUAGCAGUGACGUGUAGCGGCUCUGGAGCGUCUAGCCAAGCCUCAAGAUCUUUGAGACGAGCUAGUCGGGAGAUUCCUUUCGACCAGAUAGACUGCCGACCCACGAUCUAUCAUCCUGGUGGGAUCUUCGAAGAACUCGGCCCACUCCUGUCCGAAUUGCUUCGUGACCCGCGGGCUCAGUCGUGGGGGGAUGUCUUCGAUUCUUGCUCCUUCCACAAGACGGUGAGGGAUUUAUUAAGGCGAAGUGGAGGUGUCGGCGUUACAUACAUCAUUCCUUCCAAGGGACAGCGUCCUUGGUCGCCUCCGAUUGGCUAUCAGUGUGUCUAUGAGUCUUAUUUUGGAGACCAUACGAAGCUCUGGUUUCCAAUUCCCCGCCUGAUCACGUCGUACGCAUUUCGUCGGGACAUCGUCAUCUGUCAGUUGCUUAACGGGUCCCUGCGCAUCGCGGUUAUGCUAAUGGUGAUGGCAGCGGAGAUAGAUGUUUCGAUGAGUGUGAGAGUAUUCGAAGAGUUAACUUUUACGAAGGCGGAGCCACAUGGGAUAUUCUCAGUGAAGAUGCGCUCGAGCUACAACGUCUUGUCAGGGCACCCGAACAAAACGAAGGACUGGCAGCGCUCAUAUUUUUACGUCAAAUCUGACGAGCAUGCCUUCUCGGAGCCACCUGGGGACGACUACCGCGUCCUAUGGAACAAAACGCUUGGUAGAUAGUGUUUGUUGUCAUCAUGCCUUAUUCGAGUAUCCUAAUGGCGUGUUUCUUGUUGUUGCAGUUCGUCACCCGAAUACGAUCGCAUACCCGGAGAAGUUCUUCGAGAGUGCUCAGGCGAUCGCGGCUCACAGUCAUCUUCGUUGGCCUGAUCUUAGUCGAGAGUGGAUAAGACGCCAAGAAGCUCGGAUUGCUAGAGGUGAGUUCAUCGAUCUUUCUCCGAGAAGUUCUAUCAACAACUUAGUCUCUCUUCCUUUCUUUUACAGCUGAUUGGGAAUCGAGGCUUCCUGUUAUGCUCGGGCCCCGUAAGUCGCGUCUGUCCCUUUUUACUCGGAAACAGCAGGAACUUCUGGACGAAGCUAGGAAGAUGGACGGAGUGCCGGAUUUGAGUGCACUGCUGAAGGGGAAGCUGCAAUUGCUUUCGAAGAAGUCGAUUCCUGCCGAUGUGCAAGGGUCGACCAGUUCUGACGCUGGACGAGCUUCCAAGGAAGGAGCUCCCGGUUUAGUCGACAAAGACGUUGGGGCGGAGCCUCCUGCCUCAAGUCCUAAAAAGAAGAAGAAGAGCAAGAAAUCCAGGAGGAAAGCAGCCGAAGAGCUUCCUCUUGAAGAGAUCGCUUCUCUCGACGAAACCUCAGAGGGUUUGGAAGCAAGGAAGGGAGAGAGAGGAAGGAAGAGACCUUACGAAGGGGCUACUUCCUCCAUUGAUCGCGGCGAGGCGCCGGCAGUAGGACGAGAAGGCGCUUCAAGGGGUUCCGUCGAGUCUGAUCGUUCCGAAGCGGCGCCUGAAGAUCGUCCCAGAAAGAAGAAGAAGAAGAAGAAGAAGAAGUCCGUCGAGGCAGAGCCCCGUCCUUCUGAUGCGGAGACGGGCCUCGUCGAAUUUGUCGCGGGAGAAGACGUUUCUCUUGAAAACCCUGUUACGGGUGAGAGAUCUAUUCCUGAUCCGUCUGCGAGGAAAGGGUCUCGUUCAGAGGGUUCUACUGCGAGGAGGAAGAAGAUCGAGUUCCCCGAUCGCGUCGAGUUUUCCUACAACGAGACGACCCCCCCCCCUAAUCCUUAAUCCUCUUAGGUGCGCGGAGCUGACGCGCCAAAUUCGUGGUGGGACGAAGGAGAUGCCACAGUUGGACGACCUUUACUUUAGGAAUGAAUACAUAGACGAUGUUUCUUCGAGAGUUCGGGUAACUGUGCUACCCUUCAUACUUUAUCUCAUUAUUCGAUUCGUCAGGUUUACUCGUCUCACGUGGUCUGUGUUUGUCGUUUUUGCAGAGUGACGGGAGUACGAACUUUCUCGUUGAAAAAUACGAUAGUGCUCUGAAACAGACGAUGAUCCAGUUGGGAUCUUCGGAGAAGCUUGCCCAGACGAGGUUGAAGGUCAUCGAGAGAGUAAGGGCGGAGCAUAAGAAGGCCAACGAGAAGCCCGCAGAGGAGAAAGAGAUUCUUCGAGUAAAGUUCGAAGAACUGGAGGGCAAGCUUAAGUCUUCCAGCGCGGCGAGGAAAGAGCUCGUUCGAGAGAAAAGUCAUUUGGACCAAAUGGCUGCGAACCUGGAGAAGGAGAAGACCGAGCUAGUCAAAGAGAGAGAUGCCGCGGUAGACAAACUAAUCAGAGAGAGGCAACGCUUGAGGGACUCCCGGGGUUUGGAGGUUACUCAUGAGAGGGAAAGAGUCGAGGCUGCUAUGGCUGAGAAGGCAAGUCGCCGUUUUGAUCGCGUGCGCGACCAUUUUACUCGUCUGGAGGCUUUUGAGAAGGCGAAGAACCUGUAUGGUCAAGCUUCGGGAACGAAGAAGUGCCUCGAGGUUAUAAAGGCGAGUGGGACGGAGAUCCCCCAAGAAAUGAUCGAUGUCUUCGCUGAGCAGGAGAAAUUUUACGAGGCGGAGGUUAUGAAACUCCGAGUAGAGCCGCUGUCCGAUAGUGACCUUACACUUUCUCCGCUGGUCCUUCCUUCUCGUUUCUCCGAGGACCGGUUCAGAACGUUAUUCGAUCCCUAUGGGUCGAACGUAAAUUUGAUCGGGCCAGAGACGGCUUCUCGGCUCGUUACCUCGCUCGAAGUUGUUGAGGAGCCGUCAGAGGAGCCACUUGUUGAUGUCACGUCUAUCCCUACCGAGCCUGUCAAGUCCCCGGUGGGAAGCGGUUUUGACGAGCGCCCAGAGAAUGAGAAUCUGAAGGGGUUUCCUGGAAAGGACGGCCUCGAGAUAGGCGACACUCUGGUUUGAGAGGGAGAGACCGAGAACGUGGGUGUCGAGGAUCCUAUGCUCGUCUCGGAUUCUUCCUCCGAAGGACGAGAGGAUGGGGAGGAGGAUAACGAUGGGAUCGAGGAGGCGUCGCUGCCACGUCCCGCUGAGGAGGAGACAAUCUACGAAGCUGGGGAUACAGAUGUUCCUCCACGUCCCGUUGUAGACUCUCUUGCUUCUAUUCCUACUCGGGCGGAGGACCCAACUGCUGCCGAUACCAAGGGUCCUGACGAUCAAGAUUUUGUUCUUUGAUGUUUCACUUAUGUUCUUAUCUGUUGUGGUCUUGAUAGACCCUGUUGUUGUACGAUUAGACAUGCUUUUAUUUUUAUUUUGGCAAGUCGCUGUUUUAAGCGGACUUUAAAUUUGUGGGUUGUUUUUCUCAUCUGUACUUGCAAACUUUGUUAAAGUAAAUGUCAGUAUCUUUAGUGUCUCGCGAAGUGUUCGCUUAGAAACAAUAGAUUCCCGACCUUUGGCUUUUGCAAAUAGAUAAGGAAACGAACCGCUAGGGGAUUUAUUCAGCUCUUGUCGCGUUUCGAUCGAGACGACCUCUAGGCGCAUUGUUCUAUAUCGAAAACAAGGGACUGGAUCUAAGAGUGGAAGGUUCCUUCGUCCGUUUCCUCAAUGACAAUCGAGUAAUUGGGUAGCUAGUCCAUUACGCGUUUAGUCGAGGAAAGGUUAAAGAUUCACUCCGUUUAGUCGGUCAAUGCUCCUUGGGCAUAGGUGACUAGCGACUGUUGGGUCCUCAGGCUAAGUGUCUGAUCAGGACAUAGCCAGGAAAUGGAACGAUAGUGUCCGCGUAUCUCCUGCUGGAGACACGGCAGCCGUUGGGUUUGAUGACAGGCAUCCACUCAGUAGAAGUUGAGACAAAGAACAAGAUUUUGACUUUGAUUUUGUUACAGCUGGACCUGUUUAAGGCUGCCUACGUACCUCAGUUGAGGAUCAAGCCAUUCGUAGUUCGUUUUUCCCGAGUAAAAGUGGCCGUGAGUGGCGCAUUUACUCGGUCGAGUAGAAGUGACCACGGGGUGCAUCUACUCGGGUUUUUUUUUUUUUUUUUUUUUUUUUUUGGGAUACACCUACGAGUAGAAACGUCUUAGGUGCAUCGAGUUCCAUGAUCGGGGAACUUCUUCGCCACGUGAAGUUUGAAGUCGGUAUACUCCGGGUUUGACGACUUUGAUGAUUUUAUAAGGUCCCUCCCACCUGGCGCCGAGUUUACCGGCGUUUAGCUCCUUAGUGUUUUCAAACACCUUGCGCAUGAUGAGGUCACCGAGUUCCAGAGGUCGGGCACGGACUCUUUUGUUGUAGUAACUCUCGAUCUGGUGUUGAUAGUUCUGGAUGCGCAGCAGAGCUUGAUCUCGUCGUUCUUCUAUCUCAUCAAGGGCGUCGAGUAGCAUUUCCUUGUUGAGUUCGACGUAUUGAGGCAUCUUGGAGCGUCGGAGGCUUGAAACGUUGACUUCAGCGGGAGCCAUGGCUUCUACACCGUAGGAGAGGGAGAAAGGUGUCGAUUUAGUCGAUCCUAGCGGCAUUGUGCGAUGGCUCCAUAUGACCCCAUCGAGCUCGUCGGCCCAGUGACCCUUUUUCACAUCCAGGCGCUUUUUAAUGCCAUCGAUGAUGAGUUUAUUGGAGUAUUCUGCCUGGCCAUUACCUUGCGGGUAACGAGGAGUGGAGGGGCUUAGUCGAAUGUUCCAUUUGCCACAGAACUCCUUGAAGUUGCCUGACAUGAAAUGCGAUCCGUAAUCGGUAACGAUCUCAUAAGGUAAACCGUGGCGGCAAAUAAUAUUUUUCCAGACGAAACCGCGGACUUCUUUGUCCGUGACUUUAACGUAUGCUUCAGCUUCGAUCCAUUUAGUAAAGUAGUCGGUGAGGACGAGGAUGAAGCGUCUUUGGCGGGAACAGGGAAGUGGUCCAAUGAUGUCCAUUGCCCAUCGCAUGAACGGGUAUGGAGCGGUGGUUGUUCGCAACAUUUCAGUUGGACAAUGGAUACUAGGUGCGUGCCGUUGGCACUUGUCGCAGCUUCUCGCGUAAGACUCGCAAUCUGCGUUCAUUGUUGGCCAGAAGAAGCCCAAGCUCCUUACUUUGAUUGCUAAUUCACGUCCGCCUGAAUGAUUUCCGCCAGCGCCUUCGUGCGUCUCUGCCAUAACCCUUGCUGUCUCGUCGCCAUAAAUGCAUUUUAGGGGUACUUUACUCGCGGUCCAGCGGUGUAGUUCAUCGUCAAGAACGACGUAAUGGGCGCUGCGUGUUUUUAGUCAGCGAGCUUCCCAUUUGUCGUUUGGAAGUUCUCCCUUCGAGAGGUAGUCGAUAAACUCAGUUCUCCAAUCAGGACCAAAUUCGUCGUCAUCUGGAGUAGCGGGUUCGAUGACCGGGGCAACGAGGGUUUGGUCGGUAGGAAUAUCGAUGCUAGGUUUCUCGAUACGAUGUAUCGGGAUGGUUCGUUUAACUUGAUCACGAAGCUUGCUGCCAAGGGCCGCGAGGGCGUCAGCGCAGACGUUUUCGCCUCUGGGAACUUUGAUGAGUUCGAAGAACUCGAACUCUGCUGUCAGGCUUUGCACUAUUUUGAGAUAGGCAUCCAUUCGGUCGUUGCGGGCAUCGUAGUCGCCGCUGAACUGACUGGCGACAAAUUGAGAGUCGCAAUAGGCGCUUAGUCGUUCAGCUUUUACGGCUUUUGCUAAGCGGAGUCCGGCGAUCAGAGAUUCGUAUUCUGCUUCGUUGUUUGACGCGGGAAAGCCAAAGCUAAAAGACUGCCUGAUUAGCUCUCCGGUCGGGGACUGUAGUUGGACUCCGGCUCCUGCCCCCUUGUUGGUCGAUGAUCCAUCGACGUGCAGCGUCCAGAUUGAGCUUGGGAGUAUAAGAUCUUGUUCCAAUUCUGGGGCCAACUCGACCAGGAAGUCCGCGAGGACUUGGAACUUCGCCGCUGUAUGGUUCUUGUAGGUAAUAUCAAGCUCGCCGAGUUCGAUGGCCCACUUCGUGAGUCUGCCAGAUCUGUUGGUGUUUUGGAGUAUUGUUCGGAGAGGUUGAUCAGUCAGUACCUCCACUGAAUGUGACUGGAAAUACGGUCGAAGCUUUCUUGCUGCCUCGACAACUGCUAAAGCCAUCUUUUCCAGAGUCGGGUAUCGCGUCUCUGGUCCGGUCAUGCGUCUGCUUGUGUAAAAAAUGGGCUUUUGUUCGCCGCGGUCUUCCUUUAUCAGAACGCUGCUGACAGCAGCUUGUGACACCGCGACAUAGAGAGAUAGAACAUCACCUACGUCCGGCUUAGCGAGUAUUGGAGGUGUUGUCAGGUAUUGCUUGAGUUGAGUAAAUGCAUCCUCACACUUCUCAUCCCAAAUGAACUUCUUAUUUCCUCGCAAGAGAUCGUAGAAGGGGAGGCACUUGUCGGUGGAUCUGGAGAUGAAACGAUUUAGAGCAGCUAUCCGGCCCGUGAGCCGUUGUACUUCUCUACUGUUCCUCGGACUUGGGAGGUUCAGGACCGCGGAUAUUUGCUUCGGGUUUGCCUCGAUUCCUCGCUGUGUGACUAUGUAGCCGAGGAAUUCGCCUGAAGAGACUCCGAAUGUGCACUUUGCUGGGUUCAACUUCAUGCCGUAUUUGUUGAGAGUUUCGAAGCAUUCUUGAAGAUGACGGAGGUGAUCAAUGGAAUGGAGCGACUUAACCAACAUGUCGUCGAUGUACACUUCCAUAGUGAUGCCCAGCUUAUCUGCGAACAUCUUGUUUACAAGUCGUUGGUAGGUUGCUCCCGCGUUCUUCAAACCGAACGGCAUGACCUUAUAGCAGUAGGUUCCCUUAUCUGUGAUGAAGGCUGUCUUCUCGCGAUCAUCCGGGUGCAUCAUCAUUUGAUUGUAUCCAGAGAAGGCGUCCAUGAAGGUCAGCAUCUCGUUUCCGGCCGUAGACUCGACUAAACGGUCAAUGUUGGGAAGAGGGUAGCUAUCAUUUGGGCAGGCUUUAUUCAGAUCGGUGAAGUCGACGCAGACGCGCCACUUGCCAUUUUUCUUUUUGACGACUACCGGAUUUGCAAACCAUUCGGGGUAGCGGACCUCAGCGAUCGAACCUGAGUUGAGUAGCUUGUCAACUUCUUCGUUUACGGCCUUCGACCUGUCAGGGGCGAGCUUACGUCGCUUCUGGCGGAUAGGUUUGAAUGUCGGGUCGACGUUUAGCUCGUGAGUCGUUAUAGUCGGAUCAAUGCCUUUCAUGUCUGCCAUAGACCAAGCGAAUGUAGACACAUUCUUCCUGAGGAAGUUCAGAAUUGACUGCUGCAUUUCCUCAGAAAGGUAUGCACCAACCCUUACGGUUUAACUUUGAUCGGCGUCGUCAAUAGGUAACUCGAGAAUCUUGCUUUCCUGGGAACGCACUUUUGAGGUUGGGGGAGACCCAGAAUUAACGGGUAGAGAUGACCGUUGGAGUUUGACUGUGGCGACUAGGAGAUCCCUAGCGGCCUUUUGAUCCCCUCGCAGCGUUUUUAUCCUUCCGUCCGUACAAGGGAACUUGACGCACUGGUGGUAAGUGGAAGGAACGGCUUGCAUCAAGUGUAGCCAAGGGGUGCCGAGUAUAGCGUGAUAAGGAGCUUUUGUCCUUACAACGGCAAACUUAACCAUUCGAGUAACGCCACACGCGCGUACCGGGAGGUGGAUCGUUCCCAAGAUAGUUUCGGAGGAUCCAUUGAAUCCGGUUAAUGUUCUGGAAGACGCUUUUAUGUCGUCAAGAUCAACUCCCAUCUUCUGUAGAGUUCCUCGGAAGAUGAGGUCGACAGAACUUCCGGUGUCAAUGAGGAUCUUGGUGACAUCAUACUCUCCAAUUCCAAGGACGACGAGAAGAGGAUCAUUAUGGGGAGCGUGAACUCCUUCAGCGUCGUCCGGUGAGAAGGUUAUCGGAAGAUGACUUGUCGGUUUAGUCGGCCACUUCUAGGAAGUCGCGACCUGUCGACGAUAGUCUUUUACAGAACGGACAGUGUCUCCGUUAGGAGGGGAGCCUCCCAUGAUGACAUUUAACGACUGUCCCGUUUGUACUCGCUUAGAGUCUAGCAAGGUGCGGAGGUCUGUGGAUAUGUUGGUGUCAUGCGCUGGGGGUUGAAAAUGACCUUUAGCUUGCUUCAACUGUCGUCGUAAGUCUGUUGGUUUUGAACGGUUGAGCUGUAUACGAAGGUCGCAGGCGCCAGCGUUGAGUUUAUCUCGGAGGUCUGUAAUUGGCCCUUUGUUGUUGUUAGCGUCGCUUAUCGAGAUACGACGAGACUUCCGUGUGUCCAGCAUCAUCCGUAGAUCUUUGUGCUUGGGACUGCUAUCAUUUUCGGACUCGAACUUCCGCUUCAGGACAUCUCUCAGAUCUCCGAGUACAGGCACAUUGUCGUUAUCGUCAUCGGACGACAAAGAUUGCUGAGAGAGUAUAACCUCGAUGCGUCUGCAAUUAGCAGGAUGCUCUUCGUCGGCGGAGGAGUCUCCCCCACCGUUAUCCUUCGGGGUUUCUUCCUCGUCGUCUUGUCGUUGAGCGUCGUUUUGCCGACCUUUGCCGGUGGCUUUGCGCUGGCUCUUCUUUCCUUGUUCUUGCUCCAGCUCUUGCCAUUCUUUGGUUUAGCUAUCAAGGGUUCGAACUUAAAUUCACCGCUCGCAAGUGACGAGAGAUAAUGAGCGUAGAGUGAUUUGCAUUCUGUGGUAUCAUGUCCCUUGACGUCGUGAUAUUUGCAAUGCUUGGUGAGAUCGACGGUCCUGGAAGACCCCGCUGCUGACCCGGCUCCGGCUGUAGGUUGGGUGGUGCAAACAGUAUCGACUGGUUUGUCGGGCGAAUCGAGCUCCCUUACCCACUUGUUCCAUCCCUCGCCGCGGACUACGAGAGUUGAAACCGGCAAGUUGUUCUCGUUGACGACAUACAUGUAUCCGUCUUUGCGGCUGUUUUUGUCGGUUGGAGCAUGCUGGCGCGGUUCUUGUCGCGUGUUGGCGUUUUUAGCCGCUGGCGCUUUGGGUGCGUUCAUCUUGCUGAGAAUGGCGUUAGUAUCUUCUUCCAUUCGGAUGAAGUUGUCAGAUCGCGCGAUAGCAUCCUGGAGUGACGUAGUUGGGUUUUGGUAUAAAUCCUCCCGGAAUUUAGAACGAACCCACAACGUGUUCCGCAAGGCGUCAAUGGCGAUACUGUCUGGAAUGUCAAUCCUUGAGACUACGGUUUUGAACUUCUCCGUGUAGUCGCGAAGACUCUGGUCUUUGGUUUGGUUGAGGUUCCACAAGCUAGAGGCAGUAGCGCUGCGCUUGGUGAACAUAAUGUAAGUCUUGAGAAAAGCUGCCGACAAGUCGCGGAAACUUCCGAUGGAGUUUUCUUCUAACUGGGAAAACCAGGUUAGGGCUUGCUCGUGGAGAGUCUCGACGAACAGUUGGCAGUAGCCUGCGUCCCUUUCUUCUUCUGGGAGUCGAGCCCGUGCCAUCGAAUUGUUGAAAGCUGUCAUGUGUUCCACCGGGUCUCCGCCGGGUUUGUACUCGGGUAGGCGCAGUUUUUCUAUUUUUCUGAGUUGGACGCUGGUCAGAGAACUACUAAACGGAGUGCGUGAGGUUGCGGCGAGGACGCUCUCGAUUUGCGGGGCCGCGCUGGUUACUUGAUGGAUCUUCUCGCUCAUUUGUUGGAAACUGAGUUUGAGCUCGGCGAGCUCGCGUAUGGUUGCCAGAUCAGAACCUACCGGGGGGUGGUCGGCGAGAAGGGUUUCGUUAGGCUCGGAGUCGUCUGAGAGAUGUUCGCCUCCGGUCGCCGUCGGGUUGGUGUUAAAGAGGCGAUGGCUUAUCUGCUGGGGACGGCUUUUUUGGCCGUCGGAAGCUGUGAGGGCCGCGACCAGAGCAGCUAACUGGUCGUUGGUCGUCUUUUGGACUUCGUCUUGAUGAGCAAGUCGAGCCAUGAUAGAGCUCAUGAAAUCUGUGGUGAUGGGCGGCGCGGCUUCGGGCGUUGGGGUUGGUUCACCGCCUGGAGCGCCGAGGGUGGCGUCGUUUUGAACCAUGUAGAUCUAGAACGUUACUUUAGUCGGUCCCACGGUGGGCGCCAAUUGUUUAUGCAGGAUUCGGUUGAUUAGAAUAAUGAACAUAGGAAUGGGGUGACUAAAGACGCUUUUAUUAGAAUCAAACAAGAGGUUACAAGAUUGACGGGAAAUAAGGAGACAAGAUCAAAGGUUUAAGCAACAGGAUCAAAGAGAUGAUUAGGAAACCCUAGAUCUAGCCGCUUCUGUGUGUGUUGUCCAAAAGUCCUCCUUUUCGUUGUCUCCUCAUCCCCUCUUAUAGUGUAACCGUCCGUGAUGCCCUAAUCGUGUCGUCCUUUGGGCCCUGUCGUUAAAGGCCGAGUAUGCGGGCCUUGGUACUGUUCUCUAUAAGCCGAGCGUAUUUAGUCGGCUUAGCUGAUCGGCUAAAAGUACUCUGGGAUCGAGCCGACACCUUUAGCCGCUUAAGCCGACUAAACUGGUCAAGCUUGCCGGGCUAGGGCCUGUUAUUCGAUGGGCCUUGUGGAGGGAUGUAAUCCAUCUCCUACACGUGGUGAGGCCAGGCUGAUUUGGAGCAGCAUCACUAACUCCUAUUAAUCAAGAGUUUAGUCUCAUAAUCAAAAGAAGGAGAAAUAUUUGAAGGUGUACCUAUUAAUCAAACAUCAGCAUGUCAACCCAAUGAGCUCCCCUUCUUUAUUAAUAAGUUGAUAUCAUAAGUGAUGAUGAUGAUAGGUACCAAUUUUUCAUUAAUUUCUACCUAUUGCAGUUCAUUUUUUUGUGCUUUAAAUUUGGCUAAAGAUUCUUUGCUAGUGGUGUACUCAAGGCUUUUCAUCAGAGCCAUGGUUUUGGGAAUAUGCAAUUGCUUCGGUGCUAUCCUUUUCGAGAGUUUUUGAUGACUUAUGUCAACUGAGAGUCAUAAUUUCCUUCAAGUUAUCUUACGACCUGGUUGUCUUUGUUAGUGAUGUUGAAAGUGACGACGAUGAGGAUGACACUGAAGCUCUUAGGCUGAACUCGACCAGAUAAAAAAAGAAAGAGUGGAGGAGAGGCUCAAGAAGGUAUGUGUUCUUGUCUGUGUUUUUGUGAGAUGGUGUCAUCUCAUUGAAGCGUUUUUCUCUCAUUCUACAAUGAUUCAGGCUUCACUUAGUGUGCAUCGUCCCAAUACGUUCAAAAACUUAUUGAGUGAAGACUCGGUUUAUGAGCUUAAUACUUUUGAUGUAACAUAAAGCCCAACUUCCUGUUUACCGAGAGUCCUCAUGUGCUAUUCGUUUCAUUGACAAAACUGUUUUCGUGGAGCUUGUGGAGCUUGCUGAAACGUUUGAACGGAUCCCGAGGGAGAGCUUCAGGUUUCGGGAUUACAAACAACUUAUGGUAUUAUCCAACACGACUACUGAUUUACCAUGUUUGAAUUCAUUUCCCUCUUUUAAAACUUUUGCAUAUAUUUAUUUCACAUAUCACACUUGAUAGCUUAGCACAUGUAUUCAUUUUGUAGAUGUUGUUGGGCAAGUAAAGGGAUUAGAACUACUUACAAUGAAGAGACAUAAAGUACACAACGCAUGAUGAUCACCAUAAGUAUUGAAAGGUAUAUAUAUCUACUCAAAAAAAUCAUUUUCUUUUAAAGGUGAGCACACAUAAGGUUUUACAGUCUGGACAUGUCUAAUCGUUAGACUCCGUGUCUUUGCAGUCACUCAAAUGUUUGCCUAAGUGUUUUUGCCGAUCUAGAUAGGCUCCUUGAUGCAAAUUUGCUUUGGAGUUGUGAUGAACCAAAGGUGGUGGUUGCCAUAAACAUCAAUCCCAAGUUGCUGAGAGAACAAAACUGAUUCUGUAAGUCAGAGGUGGGCGUUUGAUUUUUGAAAUUUUGUUGUUGAGUAAGUCAGUCGUGAUUUCUCACAGAGUAUAUUUUUCUGUAUUUAUAAAAUUUUAACACUCCCAUCUCAGUUAACCAUACAUAGUAUGUGUAGAGAUGAUGACAGCUCCGUAUUAUUAAGAUCUCUCAGAUAAUGGAAGUGUGCUUGAGAUUAGUUCCACGAUCCAUUUGUUUAAGCUGCAAACACAUAUCGAGAGUGUUAGAAACAGGGGAACCAUAUAAUUUAUUGUGUAAGUUAGAAAGCAAUAUGAGUCGUACAUUUAGGAGUAAAAAUUCACUAUAUUAAAUCUCGCCUAGGCUUCACAAAGGUUCUUCAAAAUCUCUUUGUAAACUAUAUUAUCCUCUUUCGUUGGAACGUCUGUCUCCUCUAGCAUCUUCAGAAAGAAAUAUAAUGCGUACGCUGUUCCAAGUGCCGUUGUCUCUAUGUCCACUGGCCUCACCACCGGAGUUCCCAUCAAAUCAGCCUGCCCAUGUUUCAAAAGGACAAAUGAGAGUAAUGUUACAAAAUAAACAACACAUCAUCAAGAUUCAUACCUGAGAAGAAGAGGAUAAGUCAUUACCUGAAUAUGCAUAAGAAGGUUGUUGGCAGUGGCGGCACCAUCAACUCUAAGAAAGAACUCCCCUUUCUCGUUAUUUAGGGAGUCUAGCACAUCUUUCACUUGGAAACACAUGCUCUCCAGCACAGCCCUUGCAAUGUGAGACUUGUUUGUGAAUCUCGUGAUUCCAAUGCAGACACCACGAGCGUCUUCUCUCAACCAAGGCGCAAACAAACCGUUGAAUGCUGGCACAAAGUACACUCCUCCGGUUGUUUCUACCAUAGCCGCCAAAUCUUCAAUUUCACUGGCACUAUUAAUUAUCCCAAGACUGUCUCUUAGCCACUGAACAGCAGCUCCAGCUAUAACAAUGGAACCCUCGAGAGCAUAAUUUGUCUAUGCUUGAGGCCCAAGCUUGUAGUUAGAAGGAUGAAAGGGCCAGUGUCGUAGGUACUCUUAGCCUCACCUUUUUUGCAAGCUUGUCCUAACAUUGCAGUGUGCUGGUCGCCAAGACAUCCAGCGAUCUUGAUACCAGGAAUGGGCCAGCCUUUGCAGAUUUCUCCAAUGACCUCCGUGUUGCUUACAAUCUUGGUAAGAUUUCAGCGGGAAUGCCUAGAGUCUUGAGAGUGUACUCGUCACAGCUCAGGGUUUUGAGGUUCAUGAGAAUUGUACGAGAAGCGUUGGUGACAUCAGUGACGUGUAGACCUCCAUUCACACUUCCGGUCAUGUUCCAGAUCAGCCAUGUGUCGAUUGUGCCAAAGAUGGCAUAUCCUUUCUUGAUAGCGUCUUUAACAGCAUCUACGUUCUCCAUUAGCCAGAGAAGCUUCAUGGCAGAGAAGUAUGUGCUUAUAGGCAAUCCACAAGACUCAACGAAAUGGGAUCUUCCUCCUGAUAGUUCCUUCUCUAGUCUCCUGUGAAUAUCAAAAAAAAAAAAAUUUCAUCAAAAACGAACUCCCUAAGAACAGAGGAUUUUUAUGACAAAUGAUUCAAGAAAACGAAAGAAGAAAGAGAGAGAGAGAGAGAUUAUGUAUGUAUGUACCUUCAGAUGGAACUGGUGCGAGCAUCCAUACAGACGAUAGCUUUGUGGAGAGGAAGUCCAGUGGAUUUGCUCCAAACGAUGGUGUCUCUCUUUGAUUGGUAAGCCCAAUGGCCUUCAAGCCACCGUCCACGUUGUGUCCAUCGGCUGUGGCUUUGUCAAGAGGGUGGGGCAUAACUACCAAGUUACAGAGUUAGAAUCGACGCUUAAAGUCUGUGAAUUACAUCGUGGAGGUGGCAUGUGAAAGAGGAAGACGACGACGAACGGACGAACCCUAAUACCUAAGAGCAUCAUUAUCCCAAAGACCCAUUUAGGGUCUCUUAAUUUUUUUUAAUACUUUUAAGUGUUAAAAGUUAUUUAAGAAACCUACUUUAGAGACACCAUAAUCUUUGUGCAACAAUGAGAGUUUCUUAUUUAGAGGUUCUUAAAAAAAAAUGUUAACAUUGUUUAAUUAUAAAUAAAAUUUAUUUAUUAAAUAAAAUAUUAUAAAAGAUAACAUUUUAAACAUAGAUUUGAAUAAAAAACUUAAAAACAAAGAUUAGAAAAAAAACUUCAAGACCAUAAUCAUCAGUUACCUGCUGCAUCAGGUGGUUGACAUCGCCUUCGGGAGUGGACAAUGAUGUUGAACCAGCCAUGGCGUUCUCCAUGAACUCAGCUUGGACCUCCAUGUUCACAAACUGGUUCUCAAAUGAAUCCAUCAUCUCUGACAUCUUCUGCAGAUUGCCUGUUGAAAGAAACACAGAACAUAUGAGAAUCCCAAGUUGUUUAAAACACAAUGAUCCUACUUAGACUUGUCUAGUUCAUGCUAUUGCACCUUUGUUGUGUUUCCAUAAAAACCAAACCUUUAUGUCUACCCGGUAAGAAUAAUGCAAGUCCACAUUAACCUAAAUGUCAUAACUAAGUCUUAACCAGCACGCAUAAACUAAACCCUAAUCAAAGUUUAGCAGCACAUCAACAGGCUCUUUCUCUAAGAGGAAUAGAAAACAGAUUCACAGGCAAGUAUAAGAAUGAAAUAGAGACAAAAAUGAUCCUCACAUGCAAGAGAGCAUAUCAAAGAUAAAUACACAAACCUUUAUCCUUUCAAGUCAAGUUGAGACGUGAGCCACGUCUUGCAUUAAAAAUGGGAGUGGAGAAGCUACAAGUAGCAUUGACACACUAUAAACAUCACCAAAGAAGAAGAAGAGAUGAACCAAGUGGGUUAUACCACUUGUAAGCAAGUGGGUUACUGCCAAGAAUCUCCUCUUCUGCGCUAUACCACUUGUAAGAAAGUGGGUUACUGCUCUUAAGUCUCUGUAACAAGUCGUUAACAACCAAAUCAAUCUACUACACAUGCAAAUAAACUAGUACUUACUCUAUAGUUUCACUGCUUACCUCAUACUUAAUGUGAGGGAUCUCAGGGAAGAACUCUCCUUCCCAAUCACCAGAACCGCUACACUUCGCUCCCGACUCUGCAGGACACGUUUGUGGAUCAGCAGACUUCACACGAAUCAAAUGAAUAAGUAAACUUUAGAAGAAGCUCAGAAACGUUUUAAUGACCGAAAAGAUUAGAGCUUUGGACUUACCACCAGAAAUAAAGCAGUGUAUGAGCAGAGACAGAUCAUAAAAAUUUCAACUUUCUUCAUAGUGUUCAACCAGAAGAACAAAACCCUGAACAAUGGCGAUUGGUGAGAAUAAAACAAUGGCGAUUGGUUUGAGCUUAAGCCCAGAAACCCAGAUGCAAACUCAGAGGUCUUGGAAUCAAUCGCUGCAGAAGAGAAUCGAUUCAUCAUUCAAAAUCUGAGAAUUACAGAGGAGGGAGAGACGAAAUCAACUCGCAUGGUCUGGUUUGGGCUUGUGGCAAAUGGUUCCGAUGAUGAUCAACGUCCACGAAUGUCACGCUUCUCUUGCGUUUCAAAUCUAUACCUAUAGGAACGCAAAAAACUCAGUACAAAGAUAGUAAAACGAAAUUGAGGAUUGAUGAUACCUACCUCUAGAGGUCGAAGGAUCAGGAUUCGUGAACCGUCGGUCUUCUUCUUUAGACUUUACACCGGCGAAGAAGGAGAAGAGAGGAGAGGAGAGAUGAGAGAGAGGAGCAUACUUUGACGCGUGUCCCAUAAUCGACGUGUCUUAGAGCAUGAUUAUCAAUAGGACUUAAUUGGUGGUCCUUACCGUUUUUAUUGUUAUUUAUAGAUUAGAACAUUGUUAAGAACUUUUAAUGAAAAUGGUGAUUAUUGGUGGGAUUUUUUGUUGGUCCUUAGGUUAAUUUUUGUUUUAAAAUAACUAGUAACAUAUAUAAGAUUAAACAUAUUACCAUUUUAAGUUGAAUAACUAAUAAGAAAAACAAAUUCAUUCAUUUAAUAAAAAAUUACAAACAUUUUAUUACAUUACAUUAAAAAAAAAAGAAAUACAAACUUUAGAAAUAAAAGCAAACACACAACUUUUUCAAAUCAUAGAAACUUGUAAAUUAUAUGUUAUUUGGAAAAUGUUCAAAUUUAGCCCAAAUAUUUUCAAUCAGAUCAUUUUUUAAUUGUUCAUGGGCUUGUCUAUUCCGAAGGCUCGUUCGACGAUCCAAUGUACUGCCGAGAUUCGAAGGCAUGUUGACGGAAAAUGUAUCCACUUCUUCUCUUUCUUGAAACUCAAAUUUGUUAUACUGAGUGAAUGAUGAACAUUCAUCUUCGACAAUCAUAUUAUGGAGUAUGAUACAUGCUCUCAUAAUAUUUCCUAUUUUCUCUUUAUCCCAUAACUUAGAUGGAUUUUUGACAACGGCAAAUCUUGCUUGCAGGACUCCGAAGGCACACUCAACAUCUUUUCGAACUGAUUCUUGGGACUUAGCGAACAAUGACUGUUUUUCAGUUUGUGGUAGUCGGAUAGAUUGAAUAAAAGUCGUCCAUUUCGGAUAAAUACCAUUUGUUAGAUAAUAUGGCAGAUGGUACUCCGUUUCGUUGACAUUAUAGUUUACUUGUGGCGCGAUGCCGUUAAUAAUGUCAUCAAAAAUAGGUGAUCGAUCAAGAAUAUUAAGAUCGUUCAUAGUACUUGGACCUCCAAAAAACGCGUGCCAUAUCCAGAGGUCAUACGAAGCUACCGCUUCCAAGACAAUAGUUGGUUUUCCGGUGCCUCGUGAAUACAUUCAUUUCCAAGCGGUAGGACAAUUUUUCCACUCCCAAUGCAUACAGUCGAUGCUUCCAAUCAUCCCUGGAAAUCUACGUUCUUCUCCAAUAUGUAGUAGUCUUUCCAGAUCCUCCGGUGUGGGACGUCGUAGGUAUUCACCGCCAAACAAGGUGAUUAUUCCGGCAGUAAAAUUGUGCAAACAUUUUUGAGCCGUUAUUUCAGCAAGACGGAUAUAUUCGUCUACUGUAUCAGCCGCACCACCGUAUGCCAAUUAUCGAAUUGUUGCAGUACAUUUUUGUAGAGGUGAAAGACUUGACCGUCCGGUUGCAUCUUUUGAUGGUCGGAAAUAUGGUAUUUCUGUGGAGAGAUGAUGCACAAUACGGAGGAACAAUUCUUUGUUCAUCCGAAACCGUCGCCGGAAAAAAUUGGUAGAGUAUGUUGGAUUCUCGCUAAAAUAAUCAUUCCAAAGCUGGAUGUGGCCUUCUUCUCGGUUUCUCCCUAUAAAAAUACGAUUUUCCGCUCUUUUGGUUCUGGUAUAGGAUCAGAGUUGUUUAAAAAAUCUUCAAUGGGGUUAUCAAAAUCGUCAUCAUCAUCAUCAUCAUCAUCAUCAUCAUCAUCUUUGUGGUAAUGAUAAUGGAAUGAAGAUGCCAUUUUCAAUAUAUCGAGAAGUGGGAUGUGAUUGUUUAGAAAAUAAGGGAGGAGAAUUUUUUUGUGAAAUUGGUAAGGAAAUAAGAGAGAAGUGGGAUGUGAUUGUUUAUGUAUUUUUCAUCAUAAGAGCAAGCUCAUAUUUAUACAUAUUUUGUUGUGCAAGUCCGUGAGUUGGUGAUGAAAGAAACAAUGACAUGUGAUGGAGAGUCACAGGUUAUUAAACUUAGUGUGUGAUUGUUAGGUAUAGAUAUUCUUUGUUUGGUUGGUGAUGAAAAACGAAACACAUGUUCUUUGUUUGGUUGGUGAUGAAAAACGAAACAAAUGUGUUGACAUAAGAUUGAAAAACAUCACAUGAUCAAUUAGAAAUAACAAAACAUAGUACUUAUAAAACAUAGUACUUAUAAAACAAUACAUGAUCAAUUUAUACGUCGUACGAAACACCACUUAUCCAAAACACCAAGCAACUUAGUUCACUCUCCUCUUAGUUCAAACCUACUUAAACAUUACAAACACAGCCAUUACCAUUACUACAAGAACCAGACCACCUAGUACGACUUCAAAUCGAUUACCAAACGGAGAAAUUUUCUUUGAUAACUCAGCGAGAGUCUUCUCAAGCACAACCAACUUCAGUUCAGUCUCAUGAUGGAGAUCUUUUACCUGGUUUAGUUCUGACUCGUAGUCACUAACAGCCGCAAUAUAGUUCACCUUAUCAGAAAGCAGAGCAUACUGUGUACCUAUUGGUUUGAUCUCCUCUGUACCCGCUACAUCCCACCACUUGUAUACAUGGCAGUCUCCAUCAACGAUGUUCUCACAGGUGUAGAACCUUCUCCCAGGGUCAUUUCUUGAGACAGAUGUCCUAAUAACCGGUUCGCGACCACAGUAACAUUCCUUGGGGAAGCCGAACUCAACCUCCGGGUGCGGAGGGUACUGAACCCGCGUGGCUUUGAUCUCUGCUUGUUCUAGGAGUAUAUUCAUUUCUGUGGAGCUGUGGCCACUGACUGAUGUGUUCCCUAAACCAUAAUCCUCUGAAUUAAACGGCUGCGUGUAGCUAUAAUCCAAUCCCAUGUCCUGAAAAUAAUAAAAAGCUUAGAACACAAACAAAAAUAUAUUUUUUCACAAGCUUAGAACACAAGACAAAAAUAUAUUUUUUCACAAGCUUAGAACACAAGACAGAAACUGAUACGAAUCUUACGAAAUGGAAAUUAUCAUUAUAUCAAACAUAGAACAUAUCACACAAGAGACAAACCUAGAACUUGUAAAACUAGAACCUAGACGAUGACAAAAGCAACAUUUUGAAACAUAUUACAGAAGAUAGAGACUUAGAACUUGUAAAACUAUAACAGAUCGACCAACAGCUUGUUCUUAACAGUUUCUUCACUCAAACUUAGUGGAUCCUUCUUAGCAAGGAAAGUGUCUAAUAUCGUCAGCUUCGACAGUUUCUCCUUCCUCGCCAGUUCUUCCAUCUUGCCCUCCAUAAUGGUCUUAUAGUCCUCAAUAACCUUUCCUUUUCUAAUAUUCCUGCUUGCUUUCGCAGCCUUGAUACCUUCAGGAUGCAUUGAAGAGUCGGAACUGACCUCACCCACAGCUGUGCUUGAAGUUUGGGAACUGACCUCCCCACUCUUUCUCUUUGAACCGGUGGGCGUAGGUGUGUUAAGGCUUAUCCACUUUUGUUCGUGCCGCAGGACACACCACGCGUGCUCGAGGGUAAACUUCUGACCCUGAUCAGAGUAGAAGAUUUCAUGAGCCAGCAUUAGGACAUCAUUGUCACUCUGACCGCUGGUUAUUUGUCUCUCUGCAGCAGCGAAUGCGGCACAGAACUUGUUCGUCUGAUCAUUGAUUCUGUGCCACCUCUGCUUACAAUGAACAUUCUCUAUCUUCUCAUGAAGAGUUGCUGCAAAGUACUCAUCAACGCGUUUCCAGAAGGUCUGUAACUUCAUAGAAUUUCCGACAAUGGCGUCCUUUGAUGUGUUAAGCCACACACUAAUCACAACCUCGUCAUCACGCGGCGUCCAUUUCUUUCUCACCAUACGCUCCACAGGUGUGUCCUGAGGUUGGGAUGGAGCCUCAGACUGUUGGGAACUAAAAGGAAGGAUUUCUGAGGCGCCAAUGUCGACAGCGGAAGGAUAACUUUCAUAAGGAAAGUUUUCCUGAACAUUAUUAUUGUGAACGUUGUUAAGAAGCCCCAUAUAACCAUAAUUCUGGCUAUAUGGAUUCCUUGGAUCCAUAGGAAGAAGAAGAGAAGAGAUUAUAGCGAAUGGGAACGUUUUAGUGUUCUCAAAGAGAAGGGAUAGACAAUUUGGAGAUAAUAAACCACAAGUGUUUUCUAGGGGAUUUAACAGGAUAAAUUUAACAAGUAAUAACUCCAAAACCAACUAACCAUUAUCUACCUAUGUCUAAUCAGAAGUUAUUACUAAACUACAACUACAAAGAUAUCAGCUCUAGUUUAAUGGAUCAUUAAAUUUUAGUACGAAAGCUAUCACCUCUAGUAAUAAACUACAACUACAAAACCUAUAAGCUACAAAUGGAACUACAAUCCAAGCAGACAACACAAUUUCGUUAAACUAACUUCAAAACCGAAAUACAAACAUGGCAAUCUCGUUCCAAAACAGUUACAUUCAAAUCCUUAUCAAUAUUAAUUUUUUUUUAACUUCAAUUAAUUUUUUAGAAGCUCUCAGGUCUCUUUCAAAACGUUUACAGUGUGAUCAAAAGCUAGAAGAGUAACCAAUAAGUUUUAUUACUUCAAUACACAUUUAAAAGCUAUCAACUUUCCUUCAAAAAAACCAAAAACAACUACUACAAAGCUUUCACCUCUACUUCAAUACAAAUCUUAAACAUAUCAAGUUUCCUAACAAGGAAACAAUAUCAAAGAAACCAUCAACGAUCAUCAUCAUCAUUCAAUAAAGAAACAGAAUUUAAUCUACCUAACAUUUCAUCACAACAAAUAUUCACACGAAACUAACAUGCGAGGAAACAAUCGAGAAACUGAACUUAAUCAACCUAACAUAUCAUCACAAAAGCGAAUCUACGAAACCCGACUCAGAGCAACUACAUCGAGAAAAUGAAUCUAAUCUACCGAACAAAUCAUCACAACAAAGAAUCAUCGAACCCAACAUCCGGAGGAACUAGAUAGACAACGACAGAGGAACACAUACCUUUUUGAUUGAAAGCGGCGGAGAAUGAGGAAGGAGACAGACUCGGGUUUGACUCGUGCGGGAUUCGUGAGGGAUUCAGGAGAGAUGAGAGGAGAGAUUCGGGAGAGAUUCGGGAGAGAUGAGAGGAGAGAUUCAGGAGAGAUUCGGGAGAGAUGAGAGGAGAGAUGAGAGGGGAUAUUCGGGAGAGAUGAGCGAUGAAAUCGCCACAUGCGUCGCCGUCGAGAGAGAAUGGGAAGACGGUGAGUUCGAUUUGGGAAACGAAAGUCGGGUUUCCCCGAAACCGACGUCUCCGCUUCAUCUCCACUCGACAGGUGGCAAGGAAGGACGACAUAAGAUCGACCUUAGUUAAGACCCGUCCCAGAAAAUUAAACCCAUUUUCGAUUUAUUUUUCGGCCCAAAAUCCAUAAGGAUCCAAGUAACGGACCUCGAUAAUCAUGAUCUUAUUUCCCUUAAUCAAGCGAAGUUUCUUCUAUUAAAAGGUAAUUUUCUUUUUUUUUUAAAUCCCAAUUAAUUUAAGAAACCCUCAUAACAAACCCGGAUAAUGAUGCUUUAAUACCCGGAUAGGUCUCUUAACGGGCUCAAGGUUUGGGCCAAACGUAUCUAUCGUACGAAAAGCCUAGUUCUCAUACGUUUUAAUUAGAGAACCACAAACGGAAAAAAAAUCUCAAAAGCUUUGGUAUUGCGACACGUGUCGCGAAAUGCACCACUCUAUAGGAUGACGUGGCAGCAUGAGAAGGGAGAAAAGUCCCCUUUAUUGUUAUAGAUAUUGUUUCAUUUCAAUUUUUAUCAUCUAUAUCAUUUAUAAACCAGAAAACACUAAGUUACAAAUUACCAAAUUUUGAUAAAGCCCAUCUAAGCUAAAGUCUAUUUUCUCAUGUUAUAACCCUUGUUCGGAAACUCGCUAGGCGUAACGCGUGCGGCGCACCCGGGCUUAGCGAGUUAUCAGAAAAGCGGGAAAAAAUCGGAGAGUACGCGGGGCGGAAUUUUUGGUAUUUUUAUAUGUAUAACACUUCAUUUAUACGUAUUUAUGUAUAAUACAUGUUAAAGUUACACAUCAAACAUAUAUAAUACAUGUUCCAAUGAGAUUUUGUUAGUUUUCAAAGUCAGGGUUUCAAAGAAAAUGGGGAAUUUUUUGUAUAGGGAAUAAAGUUUGGGAGAAGAUUGGGUUAAUAAUUGGUUUGGAGAUUGGACGAUGGCAAAUAGAUGUGUUUAACAAAAAUUUGGGCCAAACUAAAAUAUAUACACGAGGAAGUGACGUGUUUGGGCGAAGCGUUUUUGCUUAUUAAACGGACGUUUUAUUAAUUUCACGGCAUUACGCGUCCGUUAUGCGGUUGAGCGUAGAAUGAAACGAAUUGAACCAUUUCGCCACGGUUACCUUCCGCUUUACGAUUACUCGUCCGAUUAAUCGGCUAGGCGGCCGAUUUUUAGAACAAGGGUUAUAACUAAAGUGCACCUAAACGACAGCCAAAAAAAAAUUUAGAAAGAGAUACGUCAAUAUUUUAUGGGCUUUUUGCAAAAGUGACUCAAAACUUGGAGUCAAACAGAAAACUAACAUUUUCUUUUGACUCCUUUUUUUUUGAGAUUUUAACCCCACACCUGCAUUUUAUCUACGAAAAUGCCAUUAACAUUUUUUUUUUUUUCGAAAAUGGCUUCUUUACUGUCUCAACCUCAUCUUCUUCAAGUAUUUACAAUAUUGCCACUGCAAUGAAUAGUGGCAACAACCUUGUACGAACUGUUUGGAGCUUUUAAUGCCCUUUAAUGCACGUAAAUCUCUUUACACUCUCUCUGUUUCAAUUGUUAUGAACUAAAAACAACAUUUCUUUCACUUUCUCUCUAUAUUCAUCCAAAAAAACUCAAGCUUUUGAUUCAAAAUAUGGGCUAUGGUUGACAGAGCCAUAUUUCUUUCGUUUUUACUUACGGUUGCUUUCGUUUGAGGUUCUGGGUGGUUGGAGAAGACCCUGUGUGCAAACGAAGUCAUCUCACCUAGUUUAAGGUACGAAUUUGAAUUUUUUUUCAAGAUCUGUUCGCGUAGAAGACUUACUAGUAAGUCAUCUGUAUGUAGAAGACUUACUGAUGAGUCUUCUGGUCAAACGGACGACUUAAAUUAAGUCGUUCAGCUUUGUUUGUUAAAAAAAACACUCCAGACGACUUAUAUAUACGUCGGCUACGAGAAACGGGCUAGUUUUGCAUUUGACCGAAUCGUGUCAGAUCUUUGACUAUUUCUGGACGACUUAUAAUUCAGUCGUCUCUGGGAAAGUUAAAAUUUCAAUAUUUUAUGAAAACUUGACGACUUACGUGUAAGUCGUCCUAGGUUAGUUUUGUAAUUGAAAAAUAAAACUUCAUAAUUUAACUUUAACCAGACGACUUAAUAUAAAGUCGUCCCUCCAGAAGACUUAAUUUAAAGUCGUCCGGGGAAAGCAAAGUCGUCCAGAAUUUUUCCCAAUUUUCUGGUCAAACCUUGCUUAUCCCGGACGACCUUAAAUUAAGUCGUUUAGCUGGACGACUUUCAUCUAAGUCGUCUGGAGAAAGUUAAAUUUCAAGUUUUAUUUUUCAAUUACAAAACUAACCUUAGGACGACUUACACGUAAGUCGUCAAGUUUUCAUAAAAUAUUGAAAUUUUAACUUUCCCAGAGACGACUGAAUUAUAAGUCGUCCAGAAAUAGUCAAAGAUCUGACACGAUUCGGUCAAAUGCAAAACUAGCCUGUUUCUCGUAGACGACUUAUAUAUAAGUCGUCUGAAGUUUUUUUUUUAACAAACAAAGCCGGACGACUUAGAAUUAAGUCGUCCCUUUUAAUUUUCAAUUGCAAAAGUGACCUCUUUAGACGACUUACCUUUAAGUCUUCUGGACGACUUAAUGCUAAGUCGUCUGCGGCAAUGUUUAUUGAACUUCUUCAUUUUCUCUAUGUUUACUAAUGUGUUUUAUUCUGAAUAUUUGCAGAUGAUUUUUCAGUUACAUGCAGUGUAUGGAGAAUGGUUGUUGAGAGAUUUCCGUUGGGAUUUUGUGGUUGAUGAUCUCAAAGGAGCAAGAUUGUUUUUAUUGAAUGAAGAUUCAACACAUGCUGAACUUGUUGCAAUGGCUCAAGAAGAUUAUAACCUGGACAUGAGAACAGUGAGUGUGGAGAUUAGCUACUCAUUACCAGCAGAAAUGAUGAUGGCUCCAGGCAGUCUUCCCAUUCAUGUUACAAGUGAUAGACAAGUUCGAAACUUGCUGGAGAUACUCAAAACCCAUAGAGUAUGUCUUUGUGUAUCAAGCCGCAGCAAGGUCGAAACGGUUUCAGAGAAAAGGGAUAUUGAUGAAGCUGGUGAAUGGGAAAAAGAUGUUGGUGAUAAUGAUGAAGCUGGUGAAUGGGAAGAAGAUGUUGGUGGUGAUGAUGAAGAUGUUGGUGAUAAUGAGUUUGUUGAAGAUGAAAAUCAAGAUGGGGAGGAGGAAAAUGGGGAGGAGGAUGCUGAUAAUUCUAUUGUUGGUGAAACGGAUCAGAAUGGUGGGGAUUACAGUCUUUAUGGAAAGGUUCCAGAUGAGGACGAGGAAGAUGAUGAUAAUAUUUGUUUUGAAGAAAUCGAAAAGGCAUAUGCUAAGACAAAUGCUAUUGAAGGAGGAAAAUCGAAUGGUACCAUCUAUGUCAACCAGAGUUUUGUUAGCAAGGGUGCACUGCUUUCAGAGCUGCGGUUGGCAGCAGUGAGGGGUAAGUUUUCUUUCAGAUUAUACAAAUCAACGAAAACUCUCGUUGUGGCAACAUGUCCGGUUAGCUAUUGUGGAUGGAAGGUCAGAGCGAGUGUCAAACAUGGGACAAACACGUUUUGGGUAACAAAGUAUGUGGAAAAACAUUUAUGCUCAGCGGGAGACCGAAUCGCUCAGCGGAGACACUGUACUCCGAAGUAUGUAGGUAGUCUUUUCAUUGAUCGUGUUGGAAUCAUUGAUGGGAUAACUCCGCAGCAUAUCACUGAUGCAAUGAGGAACAUGUUUGGCAUGGCGCUUGAUUACACCACUUCAUACAGAGCACUGUUAUAUGCACAAAGAUUGGUGAGAGGAUCAGCAGAAGAAGGGUAUUCGCGUCUGGCAUCAUAUCUCGAGCAAAUCUCCAUUGCAAAUCCUGAUUCUAUCACGGCGAUAGAACUUGAUUCUAUGAAAAGAUUUAAGUAUCUAUUUCUCUCUUUUGGAGCUUCUAUCAAAGGUUUUAAGUAUCAGAGAAGGGUCAUUGUGGUGGAUGGAACUCACCUAAGUGGAAAGUAUGGAGGAACUAUGUUAGUUGCAGCCGCACAAGAUGGCAAUUUUCAGAUAUUCCCAUUGGCUUUUGGGAUCGUGGAUGAGGAAGAUAUACCUUCUUGGGAAUGGUUUUUCACAAAAUUGGCUAGUUGUAUAUCUCAUGACAAGCCUCUGGUGAUAGUCUCCGACCGGCACAAGGCCAUUAAAAGUGCGUGUGAUAAGGUGUUUCCUUGGGCAACCCGAGGAAUAUGUUAUUAUCACCUUCAAGAUAACAUUGUCAAAAAGUUUAAAGGGAAACAUCUCAUGUACUUGGUGAAAGGGGCUGCUUAUGCUCACACGGUUUACGAUUUUGACCGGUACAUGGCUGAGAUACGGAGUGCAAACCCGGAACUUGCAACGUAUUUGGAGAAAGCCGACGUCAGGCUAUGGUCAAGGGUUUAUUGUAAGGGGAACAGGUUCAACAUAAAAACAAGCAACAUUGCUGAAUCUAUUAAUUCCGCACUGAAGCGAGCAAGAGGAUUUCCGAUUACGUUCCUACUGGAGUUCAUAAGGCAGAAGUUAGGAAAAUGGUAUUGGAAAAGGAGACAAGAUGCUUUGAGUCUCACAACUGAACAUAGCCGGGCUGUUGAAUACUUGCUUGCUGUUCGAGAAGAGAUAGCGGGUAUGAUGACGGUCGAACCAAUUGAUGGAUGGCAUUUCUUUGUCAAAGGUGGCAAAAUGGACUGUGUGGUUGAUUUGGAACAUGCAAAGUGUGAUUGUGGUGUCUAUGGAGUGGAGAAAAUACCUUGCUCUCAUGCUAUAGCUGCUGGAAUACAUGCUGGUUUGCAUAUCUCCACACUUGUAUGUCCACUGUACUCAAAGAAUUAUCUGUAUGCAGGAUACUCAGAGAAUAUAUAUCCUAUCGUGUCACAACAUAUUGAGGAACGAGAAUGCUUUCCUCCAGAACUAAAGCGUGGUCGGGGGAGACCGAAGAAAUCAAGAUGGCAAUCUUGGUUGGAGCUAUCUAGGAUGAGAGGACACAAACCCAGGAAGAAACACAGGGGGAGACCGAAGAAAUCAAGAUGGCAAUCCAAGGCCUCUUCUCUAGCCUCUUCUCUAGCCUCUUCAGGAGCCUCUUUACGAGCUUUCUUCCGAGGUCUUGGAUUGUCUUCCUCCUCCUCCUCCUCCUCCAACACAACCAUCUCUUUGGCCUUCUUCGAUGGAGUCACAACCUUAGGUUUUGUAUUGACCUUAGUACCAGUGACUUCCCAGCAAUCCAUGGUCCACUUCCACGGUCUCCGCUCAUACAUGACUUUAAUGAUGUUCUCCGCGGGCAGGUCCUCAACCUCAGAGUCCCAUUUUGGCCACAUUUCACUAAUGUCCUUCUCAACAAAGUUGAUCACGCGGGUCUGCAGUAAAUAAAAGAAUCGAGUUAGAUAUUUGAAAAAAAAUACUAAAUAGACGACUUAAUUAUAAGUCGUCUACUAAGUCGUCCAGCUGGAAGACCUUCCAGACGACUUAUAAUAAGUCGUCUAAUAAGUCGUCCAGAUGGAAGACUUUCCAGACGACUUAAUUAAGUCGUCCGAUAAGUCGUCCAGCUGGGAAGACUUUCCAGACGCCUUAUUAUAAGUCGUCUAAUAAGUCGUCCAGAUGGAAGACUUUCCAGACGACUUAAUUAAGUCGUCUGAUAAGUCGUCCAGCUGGGAAGACUUUCCAGACGCCUUAUUAUAAGUCGUCUAAUAAGUCGUCCAGAUGGAAGACUUUCCAGACGACUUAAUUAAGUCGUCUGAUAAGUCGUCCAGCUGGGAAGACUUUCCAGACGCCUUAUUAUAAGUCGUCUAAUAAGUCGUCCAGAUGGAAGACUUUCCAGACGACUUAAUUAAGUCGUCCGAUAAGUCGUCCAGCUGGGAAGACUUUCCAGACGCCUUAUUAUAAGUCGUCUAAUAAGUCGUCCAGAUGGAAGACUUUCCAGACGACUUAAUUAAGUCGUCCGAUAAGUCGUCCAGCUGGGAAGACUUUCCAGACGCCUUAUUAUAAGUCGUCUAAUAAGUCGUCCAGAUGGAAGACUUUCCAGACGACUUAAUUAAGUCGUCCGAUAAGUCGUCCAGCUGGGAAGACUUUCCAGACGACUUAUUAUAAGUCGUCCGAUAAGUCGUCAAGCUGGACGACCUUCCAGACGACUUAUAAUAAGUCGUCUGCGCAGUCUUUUGGAUUGAAGUAAAUACCUGACUCAAGAUAGCAGCUUUCAUUGAUCUGCGGCCUCUGCUGCCCUCGUAAGCCAGUAUCGGUGGAGACGGACUGUCUGCUCUGGGACCACCAAUACUAGCACCCAAUUCCGGCAUAGCUGUGUACGUCCAGACUUGAAGAACUUGUAUAAACCCAUCCACGGUGUAACAGCCAGCAAUUUCUUUGUUCCACAAAGAGUCCAUCAGCACCUUAAACGCGACUCUCCCCCAUGGAUAAUUCUCAAACCGUUCUAAAUCCAUCACUAGCCUUGCCAGAGUAGAUCGUGUAGCGGUUGAAAACUUUCUCCCUUCAAUGAAUCCAGUGAAGAUGGAGAGGUACGCGAGCCGCUUGCGAUCUUCCCUGGACCAAUCCCCGCAUCUCUUCAGUGCUGCUAUUAUCUGAUCAGUAGUUGGCCCAGCUUCCAGAUGAACUCCCAGCAUCCCCCAGAAAGAAACCAUCUCUGGGGUAACGUCACAUUUUGGUGUCUCAAAGUCCUCGAUGUACUCGCAGUUUAGACCAGUGAGGUUUUCAAACUCUAACAGUGAAAACCUCAAAGGUUCUGGACCAACGAGAGACCACAUCUCAUACUUCUUCUUAAUGUCCAGCUUGAAACUGAGCAUGUAGUGAACCAGCCUUGAAGCCCAACCAAAUCCCUGCUCCUUGAACUUGAUGAAAACUCCCAAACUCGACUCCUUGAGCUCUUCAAAUUCGUCAUCAGUAAGAGCUUUCCUAAGAGCAGUAUGCAACUUACUGUUAUCCGUAUGAUACGAAAUGCUAUUGUGGGCUUCUGGCUCUUCCCCUGAUGUGUAUAACCUACGGGGGAGUUCUGGAAUAUCCAUCCUUUUUGUCUGCAAAAUAAUCAAAGACAACAAUAUAAGUCCAGACGACUUAGUAGACGACUUAUAAUUAAGUCGUCUGGAAAGUCUUCCAAAUGGACGACUUAUAUUUAAGUCAUCUACUAAGUCGUCCAGUUGGAAGACAAAGCCGGACGACUUAAAUUACUUACAAGUCUUCCAGUCGCAGAAGGAGUUGGAGUACUCGUCAUUGCGGUUAUAGAUCUGAAAAAAUAAACGUGAAACGGUGAGAAUGAGUAAAUUGAUAGAGACAACGUUUUAUGUUCAUCUUUUCCUCGAGAUUGAUGACUUAGCGGCGUUAGGGUUUACAGAGAAACGGCGCUAAGGUUUACAGAGAAGAAGCGGCGGCGCUAGGGUUUAGAAGAAGCGGCGGCGCUAGUGUUUAGAGGAAGCGGCGGUGAGAACGUUGGUGACCACGGUGGCGAGGGCGACGGUUUGUUCGGAAAUAGUGGAAGCGGCGGCGCUAGGGUUUAGAGGAAUCGGCGGCGCUAGGGUUAGAAGAAGCUGCGGCGACAACGGUGAGAAUGAAGUGAGAUAGAUAGCCGACGUUGAGAACGAUGGUUUGUUCGGAAAUCGUGGGAAUUCGAAAUCGCCUUUGAGAGAGAACUGUUAGGGUUUUGAGAGAGAACUGUUAGGGUUUCUGAAUUUCGCGAAAAAUGAAACAAAAAAAAAUCACCUUAUAUAUUGGGUAAAUAAUCCGGUUAGCUUUAAAAGUACAUUGGUAAACUUUAAGGUUUGGUCCGGUUUAGACGACUUAUUCUGGCUGAUAAUGUACAACAGACGACUUAAUAUUUAGUCGUCUGUUUUCAGACGACAAAAUAUUAAGUCGUCCUAGACCCUAAAAUGAACCCCUAAACUAAAAUGACUAGAUUAACUAACUAACCACGUUAUAAAAUCAAAUUAUACUUAAAUAGUGUUUACUAUACACAGAAAUGAACACGCAUAAGUAAUUUUAAAAAUUUUCAAAAACGGUUUUAAUGCUUUCCAAAAUCUAACCCUAAGAACACAUACAAUACUACAACAUAUGUUGAUGAAACAUAAACUAAAGAAUAUCAUGACUCACUACUUUCACUCAUCUAUGCUGAAAACAAUUGAAAUUUGUUAUAUCUUAAUUUAUACCUCCUAAGACAUAUGUUAAUUACAUAAUUCCCAUUUUUCACUUAUCAAAAUAUUUUUUACAAAAUUUUUAAAUUAUGUUUAAGACUAACUGUCCAGACGACUUUCAGUUAAGUCGUCUGGACGACUUAUUUUCAAGUCGUCUAAACAGACGACUUGCGAGGGGUAGAAACGUAAAAAAAAUUCCAUUUUUUUGUUUGGUCACAAGAGGAUAGUUGUAAUUUCAAUAGCCUUUUAGGUUACUUUUGCCUUUGACCCAAGUUGGGGUAUUGUUUUGGGUUUGACUCCAAGUUUUGAGUCACACUUGGCAAUUCUCCCAUAUUUUAUACCUCCCACAUCGCUUAAUGAUGAAGACGGGAAGAGAAAUCAACCAGUAUAAAUAAGGUACGUCCUUCACCUUCGUUCAAUUCAAACAGGCUCCAAUAGAACUGCGGCCCAACUUUUAUCUGGGCCUAGUUUAAGUAAAAAAAUCGGUAAUAAAUCUGACUAAUAAAGUGUAAUGUGAUUAAGCGCCCGCUUAAUUAUAGACCGAUUAGUUACGCCGAUUUGGUCAAAAGCGCAACGGUUGACUCCCGAUUAGCGUUUUUGCGGCCGCAAACGCGGUUACGCGGCCGUGUUUUAAAAAAAAGAUUAUAUCUAAUUAGAUAAUAAAAUUAUUAUACGCAUAUUACUAUUAUAUUUACUGAGAUACUACUUACAUUAUCUAAAAAUGUCUAAAAUUUAUUUGUUAUGAUUUUUUAUAAAGUUAUUUAACCUGUUGAUUAAUAUGUAUAUGCCUUUAAUUUUUUUUUUAUAAAUACAAACCCGAGACGCGAAUAAGGAUCCGAUUACAAACCGAAUUACAUAAAAUUACUCAAAUCAAAUCUUUUUAACUAGCUUCGCUCGAUCCACCACUCCGGCGUAUUCCGCUAUUUCAAAUUAAUAUACUUAAGUAUCGUUUGCUGUUAUCCACCUUGACGAUGAUCAUAAGAAUGUGAGAUUGACCUCGUUGCUUCGGAUGCUGAGAAUUUAAAUGUCACCUCAAAUAAGUUCUCGAUGAGUUUUUCUAAAUUUGUAAUUGUAACCCACAAUGAAGAAAAUACGAAAUAGAGAGGAGAAGAGAAAAUACACAAAAUCGAGGAGUAUGUGAAGUUUUCGAAUGAAAAAGUCUCAUCUCCAUCGCCAAAACAGCAUUAACGGAAGUAUCUAGAGACAGCCUCCAGUAAUACGGACCUUCAAUGUAAGAUUUUUAUGACAAAGAUCAGGGCUUAUAUAUGAUCGAUGGUACAUGUGACUUAUCGAGAUUAGCAUGGAAAGGUUUAUGAUGCACGUUUUGGACACAUGAAGCAUCAUCGGUAAGAGAUGGAUGAACAUCUUUUAAGGAGAAAUUGUCAUCAAAGAUAACAGAUGCAAGAUCCGGGUAAUGCAUUUUUAUCACUGAUUGGAACCUCAUAAGAUGAUUAUGAGGAGGUAAAGAACAUAAAUGAUAAAUAAAAUUGCACUAGACUUUAAAGAAGACAAUUAGUUGGUCAAGAACAUGAAGAAACUAACGAUAAAUGAGAUUGAAAUUCAAGCUUGAUGAUGAAAUUAAGAAAGAGGAAAGUUGAUUGAAGCUAAGGGUAAAAUAUUAAGA
rnacentral:lncRNA from 1 species